UACGUAGGGGGCAAGCGUUGUCCGGAAUCAUUGGGCGUAAAGAGCGCGUAGGCGGCCUGGUAAGUCCGAUGUGAAAGUCCAGGGCUCAACCCUGGGAUGCCGGUGGAUACUGUCGGGCUCGAGUCCGGAAGAGGAGUGUGGAAUUCCUGGUGUAGCGGUGAAAUGCGCAGAUAUCAGGAGGAACACCAAUGGCGAAGGCAGCGCUCUGGGACGUGACUGACGCUGAGACGCGAAAGCGUGGGGAGCAAACAGG
rnacentral:rRNA from 1 species